AUCGAACAUUCUCCGAGCGGACGUUUUCGCAAUCCGACCGAGAACACUGCGCGGUCACACGCGCGACGACGUCCGAUCCGCGGUCCACGCGAACACCGUUCGUAUCGAUUCGAUUCGAUUUCGAGAAAAUUCCGACCGCAAACCCCCACCCCACCCCCCGGUCCGCCGCGAAUCGAAGACUUUUCAACGCGUUCGUUGUUUUUUUUUUUUUCUCCAGCGUCCGCAUAGAACGCGCGCGUCGAUAACGCGGAUCGCUUUUCUUGCCGCACGUCGACGUCGACCGCGGAAAUAACCUCGCGCGUGCGGAAUUUUCGACUCUGAGGUUUUCGCAUCGCGCUCGAUUCAAAAAUAAACAAACUAUCGUGUUAUGCCAAUGUCCCCCGGGUGUUACGUUCGCGAAGAGAUCAACGAAAAAUAAAAAACGACAUUUUUCGCGCGUUACCUACGCCGAACCGUUUUUGUGCCACCAGUGCGAUUGGAAAACCUCCCACGUGACGUUUGAAAAAAAUCCUGUAAUUUCGGUAAAACAUUUUAACUAACAAAACCUCCCCUAUGAUGACAUUUCGACAAUGUAUACAAUACAUUGUCCGUAACUAUUAAGUUUUUACGUCGGUUUUUUUCCACAAUAAAUUGUUUUAUGGAUUUAAAAAUUUAAAAUUCAUUAAUAAAUCAUUGACAACUUCUGAUUUUUUUAAAACGUUCUUCGUGUUUCCCGGAAAAUCAGGUUGUAGCGCGUAGAAGGUUUUUUUCACCUAAAUGGCGUUGGUAAAAUUAAUAAAAAAAUAAAAAUCCGCUGUUAACUGUUUUUCGCCGAAAAUAGCGUUAAGGACCGUUUUCGUAUGAACCGAAUAGUUUAACGCAAAACCGUUUACUGUGCGAAGAAGGCGGCCGAACCGAUAUUCGCCUUGGGUUCG